rnacentral:lncRNA from 1 species
UUCAAGGAUCUAGAUUAUUUCAAUAAUCUUGGUCUUCAUUACAUUUCAGAGUGUUUUAGUUCUUUGAAAAUUAUUGGCAUCUUGGUAAGUGAUAAGAUAGGCUUAAUAUCACUGAACUUUACACUAUUCAGUCAAAGGAUAUAUAAAACGGUGAUAGAUACUUCAAGCUUUUGUUGGUAAUAAACUGGAAUAUUCAUAUUAUGGGAAAAAAUGUAAAGUGCUUGUGCCAGUUAAGGUAAUAUAACUUAUAUAAAAUAUAAAUACCACAAUUUUAGUGACUUAACACAAUGGAAGUGUCACGGGAUCCUUGGGGUUGUGGCUUCGCCAGCCGGAAACCUCUGUGGCCAGCGGCGCCUUCUGCCUGAGUAUUACUCCAGCCCACUGGGUUUGUUCCUUUCACUCGGACCGGCAGGCUGCGCUCAGCUCACAUUACCAGCCUGGAUCCCAUACCUGCCAAGGGCGAGCCAGAUGCAGAGCGACAGAGCUCUUUCAGUCGUGCCAUUUGGCAUGUCCUGAGUUCUUGUCGCUGUGUGCAGGAAGAAUGAAGUAUGCAGACAAUUGGAGGGUGAGCAAGGCGAAGAGGAGCUUCCUUGAGCGACAGAACAGCUCUCAGGAAACCGGAAGUAAGUAGUUCCUUUCCACAGGCACGUCUUCCGAUGUCCGUGCAGCCCUCCGCAGAGAGCAGACCCAGAGUGUGUAACUCCUACCCACAGGCAGGUUGUCCGCACAUCUGUUGGAGUCUGGCUGAGUCAGGGUUUUUAAGGGUUCAGAGGGGAGGAAGUAUGUGCUGAUUGGUCUAUGGGCAGCCAUGGGUGGGCCUGGAAAAAACACCUUAAGUUCUCACUCUGGUCUGUGGAUUCCACCCUGAACUGACAGCCCAGCCCCCAUGCUUUGGGCAGUUCCUCGCUUGAAGGUAGGGCUUCACUGAGGACCCACCCCUUUCUGCCCAGAAGCCUGUCUGCCGCUUGCCACCAUCAAUCAUAUUCAUGGCGCCCAGGCUGUUUGUGCUGAGGAGCGCCUGAAGGCCUGCAGCGAGCUGGCUCAGUGCCCCCAUGCUCGUUGGCACCCAAAGUCCAGAGGGGGCCACGGUGGCAGGGGGCUGACAUGUCAGUGCCACCCCAAGCGCUCACACACCCAGCUGGGUUGCAACAGCACUUGGGCUUGGCCUCAACUUUGCUCUGCACCUGGAACAGGCACCGGGAGCAGGGAGAGGCCAGGCAGUGGGAGCAGGCACUUUGAAGCCUGCAGCGGCAGGGGAGCUUUCUGUGGCUCCCAAGAGCGCAGGAAAUGCCUGGGUCUGGAGCUACAGCUGUGCAUAGUAGGGAGGGGCUUCCAGCCUACCAACUCGGAAUGGGUUGGGGCUCCUUCCUGUUCCUGGCUCCUGCCCACUCUACGGAGCACGCAGCUCUGGCCUUGCCUUCCCUGCUGCAGCCAGCGUCUUCAGAGCAGCUUCUCAAGAUGGGCAGCCACUGCCAUCAGAAGUCCAAAACAAGAAUUCCUGACUGGCAAAGUUUGAAGAUCUGGCAGCAUUGAGCAAGCCUUCCCACAUGGCCAUGGUUGACAAGAGCUACAGAGAUUGCCCUCUAUGUACAUUUGCUAAAAUAUAAAUUCCGUGAAGAUUCAUGAAGAACCAUUUUGUUGCUUGAUGCAACCUGAACACCUGGAAGAGCUGAUGCUCAAUACAUAUUUAUCACAUGAAUCACCCUGUAGUUUCUCAGUAAACAUUUGUUAAAUUAACAAGGCAUAGGUUCUCCAAUCUGACACCCAGUAGUCCUUAUUUUAUUAUACUCAAAUUACCUCUCUCUUAUUUACGUUAUUUCUCUGGCCUCAUAGGCAUUUAAAAUUUUUAUUUAAAAAAUUGUGGUAAAAUAUACAUAAAGUUUAUCAUUUUUAGCAUUUUUAGUGUACAAUGCAGUGAGACUAAGUAUACUUACAAUGUUGUGCGGUUGUCACCACUAUCCAUCUCCAGAACUUUUUCAUCUUUCCAAACUGAAACUCAGCACCGAUUAACAAAUAACUCUCCAUUGCCCUUUCCCACCAGACUCUGUCAAUCACCGCUCUUUGUUCUGUCUCUACAGAUUUAAUUUCUUUAAGUAGCUCAUAUAAGUAGAAUCAUACAAUAUUUGUCCUUUUGGGUGCUGCAAGAAUUUAAUGUAUCAUACCUGUUUAAUUUACUGCCUUCAUAUAUUAGAGUUGGAAGAAACUAAGGCUCAGAAGGAUGAAAGUGAGUGUGCAUAGACACAUAACACACUGAUGGUCCACUUACUCUGGAAAGAAAGACCGUUUCUUUCCUCCAAGAUCUGUGUUCUUUGUACUGCAACAUGCUGAAUUACCCAUUUUACCACUUACAGAAGGAAGUGUUCUAGACUUCUAAGUCAAGAAUGAGUGAAAACAUCACAAUUAGACUAAAUUUAGCCCAAACUUAUGUCAUGGCAUGGAAUUUGAAAAGAAUCCUUAAUCAUAUGAUAAUGUACAAAAAGUCACACCCACAAACUUAUAAGUAAAUUGUAAUCAUUUAAAAUCUCUCUCUAUUCUCUGUUGAAUUAUCUGAUUGCAUAUAUCUCUAUUUUUGGCAACCUACUGAAAGAACUUACACUAGCAUAAGCAUACAAACAAAUGUGUGAAUGUUCCAAAUACAUGCUUUAAAUCCCUCCGCUGGCCUCAGUUGAUUGGAAGUGUCAUCAGAACACCAUUCUGGGAACUGAUUUUUU